rnacentral:tRNA from 1 species
AGACAGUGAGCAAGUUUGGUAAUUGCAGGAGACUGAAAAUCUUCAGAAAUUGGUUCGAUUCCAAUACUGUCUACCA